rnacentral:ncRNA from 1 species
CGAAAGUUUUAUUCUUUCUUGGGGAUUUGGUUUAGUUUUAUUUUACAUGUAAAUUUAUGUAUGAAAAAGUUCGUUUAUUUAAAUAAUGGCGAUAAUUUAAUUCUUUCGCAGUAUGGAAUUUUAAAUAUUAGCGUAAGCUAGAUUUAGGAAUAAUUAAUAUUAUUGACAAAUUUUGUGCCAGCAGUCGCGGUUAUACAAACAAUAAUACUAAAUCUUUUUGGUUUCAGUAAUUAGAAAAAUUUAUACUUUUUUAUUUGUUUUAUUAGGUGAAAUUUUAAAAUUUAUAUAAAGUUUUUUUGUUAUUUUAAUUCUGGUAAAAUUAAGUUUUAAACUAGGAUUAGAUACCCUAUUAUUUUAAUUGUAACUUUUAUGCCUGAUUAGUAAUAGUUAUUUUCUUGAAAAUUGAAGAUUUUGGCGGUAUUUUAGUCUGUUCAGAGGAACCUGUCCCGUAAUUGAUGAUCCACGAUAAAUUUUACUUUUUCUUUUAAUUUUCAUAUCGUCGUAGUUUGAGUAUUUUUUUAGAAUUUUAAUAUUCAUGAUUUUUAUUUAAAGAAAAUCAGAUCAAGGUGUAGUUUAUGGAAGAGGGGGAGAUGGGUUACAUUAAAUUUAUCUAUGGGGAUUAUUCCUUGAAUUUGGAAUAUGAAUUUGGAUUUGAUAGUAAUUUUAAUUUUUUUAUUAAAAUGAUUUUAGCUCUAAAAUAUGUACAUAUCGCCCGUCGCUUUCGCUUCAAAGUGAAAUAAGUCGUAACAAAGUAGGCUUACUGGAAGGUGUGCCUGGAAUGUC